AAUAUAGAGCAUCACAGCUUACUAGAGCAAAAACCCACAACCAGAAACUUCUGCAGGAAGCAGUGCUGGGGUAAGAAAACAUAAGCUCUAAUUGACAAAUUGCUGGAGGCUCAGUGUGGAAAAAUCUAACAGUUAAAAAAUCCAGGAAGACUUAGUAGGGAUGAAACCCACUUGAUCAUGGUGGAUAAGCUUAUUGAUGUGCUGCUGGAUUUAGUUUGCCAGUAUUUUAUUGAGGAUUUUUGCAUCAAUGUUCAUCAAGGAUAUUGGUCUAAAAUUCUCUUUUUUUGUUGUGUCUCUGCCCAGCUUUGCUAUCAGGAUGAUGCUGGCCUCAUAAAAUGAGUUAGGGAGGAUUCCCUCUUUUUCUAUUGAUUGGAAUAGUUUCAGAAGGAAUGGUACCAAUUCCUCCUUGUACCUCUGGUAGAAUUCGACUGUGAAUCCAUCUGGUCCUGGACUCUUUU
rnacentral:lncRNA from 10 species